rnacentral:ncRNA from 3 species
CCAAGGUGAACAGCCUCU